UUUCGUUUCAGCGCGUCUCUUUGCUUCCUAGUUUUGAUUUCCAUUCCCAUUUUAUCAUCGCAAAUAUUGUUAAGCGUUUACUAUAGCAAAUUGCUAUUCAAACAAACACAGAAAAACCAGCCAUUGGCAUCAUGUUUAAAAGAUUUAUAAGAAUUCUUUAAAUGUAACAAGGAAGAAAAUAAAAGGAAAAAACAGAU